rnacentral:rRNA from 1 species
GAUGAACGCUGGCGGCGUGCCUAAUACAUGCAAGUCGAGCGAACAGACGAGGAGCUUGCUCCUCUGACGUUAGCGGCGGACGGGUGAGUAACACGUGGAUAACCUACCUAUAAGACUGGGAUAACUUCGGGAAACCGGAGCUAAUACCGGAUGAUAUAUUGAACCGCAUGGUUCAAUAGUGAAAGACGGUUUUGCUGUCACUUAUAGAUGGAUCCGCGCCGCAUUAGCUAGUUGGUAAGGUAACGGCUUACCAAGGCAACGAUGCGUAGCCGACCUGAGAGGGUGAUCGGCCACCCUGGAACUGAGACACGGUCCAGACUCCUACGGGAGGCAGCAGUAGGGAAUCUUCCGCAAUGGGCGAAGGCCUGACGGAGCAACGCCGCGUGAGUGAUGAAGGUCUUCGGAUCGUAAAACUCUGUUAUUAGGGAAGAACAAAUGUGUAAGUAACUAUGCACGUCUUGACGGUACCUAAUCAGAAAGCCACGGCUAACUACGUG